UACGAAGGGGGCGAGCGUUGUUCGGAAUCACUGGGCGUAAAGAGCGUGUAGGCGGCCAGGUAGGUCUGCUGUGAAAACUCGAGGCUCAACCUCGAGACGUCGGCGGAAACCAUCUGGCUAGAGUCCGGAAGAGGAGAGUGGAAUUCCUGGUGUAGCGGUGAAAUGCGCAGAUAUCAGGAAGAACACCCGUGGCGAAGGCGGCUCUCUGGGACGGUACUGACGCUGAGACGCGAAAGCGUGGGGAGCGAACAGG
rnacentral:rRNA from 1 species